UAAGUUUCACUGCUGCUGGUCUUUUUUUUUACCCUUGGCUUCAGAAAAAAAAUAUAUAUUGCUUUUUCGUUGGCAUCCUGCCUUGACUGAUGAGAUGUUAGCAGCCCCUAAGAAGGAGAAAAUCCAUAUGCCGAAGACAACUGUGGGCUCAUUUUCCUACAGAGGAAGAGUGUUGGAUGAAGCAUAGGAACAGGAAAAUGGCUUCAAUGCUUCAGAUGCUUCAGACACUGGAAUAUCUUGGGCUAUCAAAACAGAGCACAACAGUCAUGAUCAGAAACAUUUUGCUUUAGCAUUUCAUCUCUUCAUUAAUGGACCAUGAAAAGUGAAGACAAGAGAAUUGGACCAAAGAGCUGCCAGAGACUAAACCAAGUAUUACCUCUUGAAAGAUUGUAUCCUUGAUGCUUUAAAUUAAAACUUUAUUGCCAUUGUAAAAUGUCUGUGACUUACCCAGGGAAAAUAAAAUAUAUGAUUUUCAGAGAGUGAUCAUUACUUUUUCAGCUAAAGAAGAAGUGUCCUUUCCUCUUAAGAAUGGUGCGAAAUGGAGUCCUCAACUGGCUUUCCUCAGUGAAAGCUGGAUUACUUGUGAAGAAUCUUAGAGACUCCAUCCAGCCUCCUACCCUGCUGGAGAUACUCAAACCCAGACCUCACCUCUCCCUGAGAUGAGAGGCCCAGCCACUAGGAUGCUGGCUACAGGAGACGGAGUGGCGUGUGAGGGGGCAGAGAGCAUCUGUCUCUCUGACUGAAGCUGUUCCACCAUGCAGAAAACCUUCAAAAUUCAAGAUCAAAGAGGGACCAAGAGGAGGUAUGACUGCAUCAUCCAGCAGUUUGCAGUCACCUGACAGACGGAAAUCUGUGUACCCUUCCUGCUCCAACAUGUAUCUACAAGCUUCUAUAUGCAUAAAGCACUAAAUGAAAU
rnacentral:lncRNA from 1 species